ACCGGGGGAGCCGCAAGUAUGGCUGAGAGGUGCAUGACGCACGACCCCUUGAACCUGAUCCGGCUGGUACCGGCGUAGGGAGGGA
rnacentral:ncRNA from 1 species